GAUGAACGCUGGCUACAGGCUUAACACAUGCAAGUCGAGGGGAAACGACGGGGAAGCUUGCUUCCCCGGGCGUCGACCGGCGCACGGGUGAGUAACGCGUAUCCAACCUGCCUCUGACUGAGGGAUAACCCGUCGAAAGUCGGCCUAAUACCUCAUGGCAUCGUCUGCGGGCAUCCAACGACGAUUAAAGAUUUCAUCGGUCAGGGAUGGGGAUGCGUCUGAUUAGCUUGUUGGCGGGGUAACGGCCCACCAAGGCUACGAUCAGUAGGGGUUCUGAGAGGAGGGUCCCCCACAUUGGAACUGAGACACGGUCCAAACUCCUACGGGAGGCAGCAGUGAGGAAUAUUGGUCAAUGGGCGGGAGCCUGAACCAGCCAAGUAGCGUGCAGGAUGACGGCCCUAUGGGUUGUAAACUGCUUUUAUGCGGGGAUAAAGUGAGGGACGUGUCCUUCAUUGCAGGUACCGCAGGAAUAAGGACCGGCUAAUUCCGU
rnacentral:rRNA from 1 species